CAAUAGCGUAUAUUUAAGUUGUUGCAGUUAAAAAGCUCGUAGUUGGAUUUCGGUUAAGAGCGACCGGUCCGCCGUUUGGUGUGCACUGGUUGGUUUUAACUUCCUGUAGAGGACGUGCUCUGGGUUUAACGACCUGGACUCGGAGUCUACGUGGUUACUUUGAAAAAAUUAGAGUGUUCAAAGCGGGCUUACGCUUGAAUAUUUCAGCAUGGAAUAACACUAUAGGACUCCUGUCCUAUUUCGUUGGUCUCGGGACGGGAGUAAUGAUUAAGAGGAACAGUUGGGGGCAUUCGUAUUUCAUUGUCAGAGGUGAAAUUCUUGGAUUUAUGAAAGACGAACUACUGCGAAAGCAUUUACCAAGGAUGUUUUCAUUAA
rnacentral:rRNA from 1 species